GGAGAAGCAUAAGAUGGAAAGCUAGAUUUAAGAAACUGCCAUUGGCACAUGCCAAAGAAUUUUGGAGAAAGUAUUCUAGAAGUCAGGGGGUAGAGAAGGAAGGGUUAAAUGAUAGAUAACUGACACUUGGUCUUGGUCUUGGACUGGGACUUGGUCCUUGGUCUUAGUCUUGAACUUUUACUUUGAUCCUGGUCUUGCCAAAACAGAAGGAGGAAGAGCUGCUUCUAGGAGUGUUUCCGAUUUCAAGUCUUUGGAGAACAAAGGACAACCCUUCAAUCCUUCCUUGUGCUUCCUUAUCAGCUGGAGGGCAGUUUGGAGCAGAUUUGGUUAUCCCUGCUGUCUUGCUUCACUCUGCCAAUUAACCUGAUUGGUCAAAGUCCAAAGUAGGCAGGUACUUCUAUGGGAGUUAACCCUAAUCAUUAUUUGAGCUCUUCACUCAAAUGUUAGUUUCUGGCAAUUUUCAACAUCUACUAUCAGCUUCCAGAACUGUCUAAAGCCAACAGGCAAAUAAAGCUGGACAGAGAAAACA
rnacentral:lncRNA from 1 species